rnacentral:misc_RNA from 1 species
AAAAAAAAAAAAAAAAAAACAUGCUCCCCAUUUUGUACUUAAAAUUUACUAAUGUUGCAAUCUUCAUUCUUAUGGCGACCACAAUAUAGCAACCCCAAUAAUUAAUCACUCAAGACUAUUCAUUGCCAAAAUUCCCUAUCAAUAGGCAAGCAACUAAACCAAAUAUACAUGGAAAAUCUAUUAAUAAUAGAACUCAGGCACAACUCACCACCAAUAAUGUCCACAAAGUUCCCUCCUUUAUAACUGUGUACAACGCGAAUUUGAUAAACACCCACAACCUUAUCACAAAAUCUGAAUAAAAGACGACUAAAAUGGUUCACAUCUUCACUAAAAUCCCAAACUAUUGAAAACACGAAGACCCUAAUUUCACAAAAUCAAAAACAAACGUCUGGGGGGAAAUGAAAAACCUAAAUAGCAAGGAUAGCAAAUUACCACUUAUAUCUCAAGAAAUGG